rnacentral:rRNA from 1 species
CGGCCCACCGUGGCGACGAUGCGUAGGGGUUCUGAGAGGAAGGUCCCCCACACUGGUACUGAGACACGGACCAGACUCCUACGGGAGGCAGCAGUGAGGAAUAUUGGUCAAUGGGAGAGAUCCUGAACCAGCCAAGCCGCGUGAGGGAAGACGGCCCUAUGGGUUGUAAACCUCUUUUGUCGGAGAACAAAACCCGGGACGAGUCCCGGACUGCGUGUAUCCGAAGAAAAAGCAUCGGCUAACUCCGUGCCAGCAGCCGCGGUAAUACGGAGGAUGCGAGCGUUAUCCGGAUUUAUUGGGUUUAAAGGGUGCGUAGGCGGUCCGUUAAGUCAGCGGUAAAAUUGCGGGGCUCAACCCCGUCGAGCCGUUGAAACUGGCAGACUUGAGUUGGCGAGAAGUACGCGGAAUGCGCGGUGUAGCGGUGAAAUGCAUAGAUAUCGCGCAGAACUCCGAUUGCGAAGGCAGCGUACCGGCGCCACACUGACGCUGAGGCACGAAAGCGUGGGGAUCGAACAGGAUUAGAUACCCUGGUAGUCCACGCAGUAAACGAUGAAUGCUGGUUGUCCGGGUCGAAUGAGAUCUGG